GAAGCGAACCGGGGGAACUGAAACAUCUAAGUACCCCGAGGAAAAGAAAUCAACCGAGAUUCCCCCAGUAGCGGCGAGCGAACGGGGAGCAGCCCAGAGUCUGAAUCAGCAUGUGUGGUAGUGGAACGGUCUGGAAAGUCCGACGGUACAGGGUGAUAGUCCCGUACACAAAAUCGCAUGUGUUGUGAACUCGAAGAGUAGGGCGGGACACGUGGUAUCCUGUCUGAAUAUGGGGGGACCAUCCUCCAAGGCUAAAUACUCCUGACUGACCGAUAGUGAACCAGUACCGUGAGGGAAAGGCGAAAAGAACCCCGGCGAGGGGAGUGAAAAAGAACCUGAAACCGUGUACGUACAAGCAGUGGGAGCCUUGAUUUAUCAGGGUGACUGCGUACCUUUUGUAUAAUGGGUCAGCGACUUAUAUUCUGUAGCAAGGUUAACCGUAUAGGGGAGCCGAAGGGAAACCGAGUCUUAACUGGGCGUUAAGUUGCAGGGUAUAGACCCGAAACCCGGUGAUCUAGCCAUGGGCAGGUUGAAGGUUGGGUAACACUAACUGGAGGACCGAACCGACUAAUGUUGAAAAAUUAGCGGAUGACUUGUGGCUGGGGGUGAAAGGCCAAUCAAACCGGGAGAUAGCUGGUUCUCCCCGAAAGCUAUUUAGGUAGCGCCUCGUGAACUCAUCUUCGGGGGUAGAGCACUGUUUCGGCUAGGGGGUCAUCCCGACUUACCAACCCGAUGCAAACUACGAAUACCGAAGAAUGUUAUCACGGGAGACACACGGCGGGUGCUAACGUCCGUCGUGAAGAGGGAAACAACCCAGACCGCCAGCUAAGGUCCCAAAGUCACAGUUAAGUGGGAAACGAUGUGGGAAGGCACAGACAGCCAGGAUGUUGGCUUAGAAGCAGCCAUCAUUUAAAGAAAGCGUAAUAGCUCACUGGUCGAGUCGGCCUGCGCGGAAGAUGUAACGGGGCUAAACUGUGCACCGAAGCUGCGGCAGCGACACUAUGUGUUGUUGGGUAGGGGAGCGUUCUGUAAGCCGUUGAAGGUGUCCUGUGAGGGGUGCUGGAGGUAUCAGAAGUGCGAAUGCUGACAUAAGUAACGAUAAUGCGGGUGAAAAACCCGCACGCCGGAAGACCAAGGGUUCCUGUCCAACGUUAAUCGGGGCAGGGUGAGUCGACCCCUAAGGCGAGGCCGAAAGGCGUAGUCGAUGGGAAACAGGUUAAUAUUCCUGUACUUGGUGUUACUGCGAAGGGGGGACGGAGAAGGCUAUGUUAGCCGGGCGACGGUUGUCCCGGUUUAAGCAUGUAGGCGG
rnacentral:rRNA from 1 species